rnacentral:lncRNA from 1 species
GGAAUGUCUUUUCUUUAAUUUUGUGAGGCUGGGUCUCACUGGAGCCGAGGCUGGCCUUGCAUUCCUGGCAAUUCUGUGACUUCAGCUUCCAAGAUUCAUAUAGACAUUGGCUCUUAAGUCAAACUUUAAGAAAAACAAAAAAACAAAUAGGAUUCCUUUUUACUUCUGUGUAGUCUGUCAGAGCAGAUGCUCGCAGAGGCCAGAGGAGUCCGCUGACCCUCCUGGAGCUGGAGUUAUGGGAGGUUCUUAGCUGCUCAGUGUAGAUGCUGGGACUGAACUGGUGUUCUCUGUAAGAGCAGUAUGGUCCCUUAACCACUGAGCCAUCUCUCCAGCCCCCAGCUUAUGCUCUUUAAAAAUACAGAAAAAUAUUUUGAAAAUAGACAAGGUUAUCUUGUAAUAAGAACAAAUCAUUAUGUAGAAGUAGUCUAACUUUCUGAACUCCUUGUGUAUGAGUGUGGCAUGUACACACAUAUGUACAAGUAUGCAUGCCUGUACAUACGUGUAUAUGUGGGGGUUAGAGAGGGAUGUCAGAUACCGUACUCUGUUACACUUUUCCUUUAUACCUUUGAGACAGGCUCUCUCACUGAACCUGGAGCUAUGGUAGCCAGAAAGCCUGUGUCUGUGUCCUCCCACCCCCACCCUGGACAGUACAUAUGUUACAGGCACCAGUGUGGCCACGCCUGGACUUUAAAUGUGUGUUCAGCUCUAAGCUCAGGUCCUCAUUUGUGGAGCAAGAGCUCUUACCCGGUGAGCCAUCUGAACUCGUGUAGCUCUACUGUUGAUUGGUAAUGUCUGCGACAGUGUGACCACGUGAGCUUCCGAGUCUAGAUGAAAUCUUGUUGCGGCUUGUUCAUAGACUGACAUGAGGUAUGAGGUAUUUAAUCCCAGAGGUCCUUGCAGAGACUGGAAAGAGUGCUUUGAGAGUCCACUUUCUUAGAAGCCCGGAGUUACCGGUGAGGUGUCCCUCCUUGCAGGGACUGUCAAUGUGGCAUUCCUUUUGCAAAGACACUAGAGGGAUGGGUGUCUCCAGAGGGAAGCCUUGCUUGGAGCUGGGCGAUGUGGACUGUUUCCAUAGGACUUGUAAGCUGACUGCCAUGAAAGAGCACCUUUGGGUAAAUGAAUGACCUCUGAGUGGUGCAGACUGGAAGGCAUCCAUUGUAACACCAUCGCCUAGGGCUUCCUUGUAAUAGAAUCAAAAUAGAAGUUUUCCUUUUUAAAUUCACUUUAAUCCUUGAUCUUCCUUUAUAUCUCAUUUAUACAAGGACACAUUUCCAUUCAAGUCUGUAAGAAUCAAAUAUAUUUGAGAUCUUAAGACUGGCUACGUAGUUUCAUCCAGAAGAUGCCAUUGUAUGAAGACACAGAGGCCAUGCAGUUGCUUCAUUUGCGUCAGCUCUCAGGGUUUUCCACGCACUGUCCAACUGUGACUGGACUUUGUGGACCUUUCUUCUGCAAACAUUACUAAAUGUAAAUCAUUUUCCAAAAUCAUUUUAAUCUGUGCCAUAUACAAACUAUAGUACUGAGGGUAGACUCAAUACUGCAUGUACUGAGAAAUAUUUGUCUCAUCUUUAUCUUCAGUUACUUACUGCCACAGAGUUUUAAAUCCUAGGGAAUUUUCUGGUAGGAGCACAUUUAUUUCCUAAGUGAGAGGACUCGCUAUGGGAUCCUUCAUAGCUUUAGUGGGGCCUGGGCAUCGGAGAGACUCAACCAUGUAACUGAGGUGGGCUUUGACUAGCUUGAUCUUUGAGAAGAACAGCAGGGGGUGGGGACCAUUCAGUCAAGUGUACUUAAUGAAACCCUGAUAAAAACCAGCUGUCAAGGCCAGAUGACAGUUCCUGUUGCUAGGAGACGUUGAUAUCAUGGGAGGAAGAUACCUCUGGUUCCCUGGAAAGAUGGCACAGAGUCCCACAACUUCAACUCUGUUACGCUUCGUCCUUCGUUUCUUCAUUUGGCUGUUGUGAUCUGUGCGUGUCCUUUGUGACAACACCAUAUUCAAAAAUCGGAGCCAUCUACUUAUUCUAUUGAGUUUUUGAACCUUUGGGGAAUGUGAGAACCCCCAAAUUUAUAGCCAGUCAGAAGUGUAGGUGGCCUGGGGUCUCCUGAAGAAAAGUCAGCAAGACUAGGACAAAGUCUGUGGAGUCUUGUGCUCACCUCAGGAUGCCCAGCUGGGGUGAAUACGGGGUGCUAUGUUUAUCAGAACACAGUGAAGACUCACGGUUAGCUCAAGAGAUACCCUGUAAUCAAUCAUAGGUAUAAAUUGGUAUCUUAUUGUUUUAUAAAUGUAUCCCACAGGUUAAAAAGCCUGAGCAUCUUUUGUUUGAUGACUGUAAAUAUUUCUAGUUCUUUUUAGACUCUUUGGAGGGUUUGAGGCAGUCCCGUCUGUAGCUGAGGCUGACCUUGAACCUUCAACAUUGCUCAUACCUCAGCCUCCCAAGGGCUGGGAUUAUGGGCACCAGCCACCACCCUCAGCUCAACUCCUGUUUUCUCAGUUUGUUUUUCUGCACUGGCUAGAUCUUCAGGGUAACAACAAAACGUUAUGUCAGUGUGGCAUCAUAGCACACACCUUAAAUCCCAGUGCUCAGGAGGCUGAGGUAGGCAGCUCUCUGUGAAAGGCCAGUCUAGGAACUACAGAGUGCAUUCUAGGAUAGCCUGUGCUACAUAGACCCUAUCUCAAAAAACAAAACAAACAAACAAAAAAUUAGGUGUCCUUAACAUUUUUUCACUUUAAAGGGACCUUUUGUUAGAUUUAGGGAGUUUUCUUUGAAAUCUUUGCUUUAAUAAAGUAGGGCUUUUAUUAUUAAGUAAUAUUGAUAAAAAGUCCUUUUCUGAAUCUACUGAACUGAUUAUAUACUUUAAUUUAUAAAGACAAAUGCCAUGUUUUCAAAGAGUGUAAACCAACCAUCCAUUUCUAGAGUUAGGCCAGCUUCAGCAUGUGUUAUCUUUUUACAUGUUCCCAGAGAGAACUCGGCUCUGUUUCUGAUUAUAUUCAACUAGAUUCCUGAGAACAAUCAUUCUGAGGGGGACGUGAUCUCAAAGAGCUAACAAAAUGGAUGGGAAUUUCUGGAUAUCAAACUCCCAAAAGGCGGGAGCCACAAAAAUAAGCCCUGGCACAUUUUCCAAUUUGAAAAACAUUUUCUUAACUACAAAAAGUUUUGACAACCCCAUAGAGCAAAGGGUUUGAAAUCCAGAGUUCAAGGCUUUUCCCAGGUAGGCAUCGUGGUAAAGAGGACAGAAACACACCAUCUUUGCUUCAUGUGUACAGCCUAGGACAGUCAAGUCGUCACCUUGGAUUAAGGUUGAGCCAGUCUGGUUUUACUCCCAGUUCAUGGUAUAAAGAAUUGAAC